rnacentral:rRNA from 1 species
CCUACGGGGUGCAGCAGUGAGGAAUAUUGGUCAAUGGCCGGAAGGCUGAACCAGCCAUGCCGCGUGAAGGUCAGUGCCCUAUGGGCGUUAAACUUCUUUUGUGCGGGAGCAAUAAUGGUCACGUGUGGCCAGACGAGAGUACCGUACGAAUAAGCAUCGGCUGACUCCGUGCCAGCAGCCGCGGUAAUACGGGGGAUGCAAGCGUUAUCCGGAUUUAUUGGGGUUAAAGGGUGCGUAGGCUGUGAGGUAAGUCAGAGGUGAAAUGCCCCCGCUCAACGGGGUGAAGUGCCAUUGAUACUGCCUUGCUGGAAUGCGGAUGCCGUGGGAGGAAUGUGUGGUGUAGCGGUGAAAUGCAUAGAUAUCACACAGAACACCGAUUGCGAAGGCAUCUCACGAAUCCGCGAUUGACGCUGAUGCACGAAAGCGUGGGUAUCAAACAGGAUUAGAUACCCUUGUAGUC